ACAACCACAACUUUGGUGGUUUGUCAUUUGUCAAUACCAUAUCUAAUUAGCAACCUCUAUAUAUACAAUACAAUAUCCACUUGCUCUAUUAUGUGCAUAUUUGCAGAGAAGUAAGCUUAAGCUGAAUCACAACAAUGGCGGCAGAGGGAACAAAAGUGGGAAGAAUCAAAUUGGGUUCAGAGGGUCUUGAAGUAUCUGCUCAAGGACUUGGUUGUAUGGGUAUGUCCGCUUUUUACGGGCCUCCCAAACCCGAUUCCGAUAUGGUCCAACUCAUCCACCACGCCAUUAAAUCCGGCGUCACAUUUCUCGAUACUUCCGAUGUAUAUGGGCCCCACACUAAUGAAAUCCUCCUCGGCAAGGCUCUGAAGGGCGGGAUGAGGGAACGAGUUGAGUUAGCAACAAAAUUUGCUGUAAGUUUUGCAGAUGGAAAAAUGCAAGUGCGCGGAGAGCCAGCCUAUGUAAGGGCAGCAUGCGAGGCUAGCUUAAAGCGACUUGAUGUUGACUGCAUAGACUUGUACUACCAGCACCGGAUUGAUACACGCGUGCCCAUUGAAGUGACGGUUGGAGAACUUAAGAAGUUGGUUGAAGAGGGUAAAAUUAAAUAUAUAGGUCUAUCGGAGGCUUCAGCAUCAACAAUUAGAAGAGCACAUGCAGUUCAUCCAAUAACAGCGGUUCAAUUAGAAUGGUCUCUAUGGUCGAGAGAUGUAGAGGAAGACAUAGUCCCUACUUGCAGAGAACUUGGAAUCGGGAUUGUAGCAUACAGUCCACUAGGGCGUGGCUUUUUAUCAUCCGGUCCAAAGCUGCUUGAGGACUGCUCAAAUGAAGAUUUCCGAAAGUAUCUACCGAGGUUCCAGGGCGAGAAUCUUGAGCAUAACAAAAAACUGUAUGAGAGGAUUUGUCAAAUUGCAGCCAAGAAGGGAUGCACCCCGUCUCAACUUGCAUUGGCCUGGGUACAUCACCAAGGAAACGACGUGUGUCCCAUUCCUGGCACCACUAAGAUUGAAAACUUCAACCAGAACAUUGGAGCUCUGUCCAUAAAGCUUACUUCUGAAGACCUGACAGAGCUUGAAUCUAUUGCUUCAGCUAAUGCAGUCCAGGGUGAUAGAGUGAAGUAGGCUGAAACGACAACAAUGGCGACGGAAGGAACAAAAGUGGGAAGAAUGAAAUUGGGUUCAGAGGGGCUUCAAGUAUCUGCUCAAGGACUUGGUUGUAUGGGUAUGUCCGCUUUUUACGGGCCGCCCAAACCCGAACCCGAUAUGAUCGAACUAAUCCACCACGCCAUUAACUCCGGCGUCACUCUUCUCGAUACCUCCGAUGUAUAUGGGCCUUACACCAAUGAAAUCCUCAUUGGUAAAGCUUUGAAGGGAGGGAUGAGAGAACGGGUUGUAUUAGCAACAAAGUUUGGUAUUGUUUUAGGAGAUGAAAAGAAAGCA